rnacentral:rRNA from 1 species
AGAGCGAACGCUGGCGGCAGGCCUAAUACAUGCAAGUCGAACGGACCCUUCGGGGUUAGUGGCGGACGGGUGAGUAACACGUGGGAACGUGCCCUUUGGUUCGGAACAACUCAGGGAAACUUGAGCUAAUACCGAAUGUGCCCCCAUCCUUAAACAAGAUGGGUGGGAAAGAUUUAUCGCCAUUGGAGCGGCCCGCGUCUGAUUAGCUAGUUGGUGAGGUAAAGGCUCACCAAAGGCGACGAUCAGUAGCUGGUCUGAGAGGAUGAUCAGCCACACUGGGACUGAGACACGGCCCAGACUCCUACGGGAGGCAGCAGUAGGGAAUCUUGCGCAAUGGGCGAAAAGCCUGACGCAGCCAUGCCGCGUGAAUGAUGAAGGUCUUAGGAUUGUAAAAAUUCUUUCAGCGGGACGAUAAUGACGGUACCCGCAGAAGAAGCCCCGGCUAACUUCGCGCCAGCAGCCGC